rnacentral:rRNA from 1 species
GACGAACGCUGGCGGCGCGCCUAACACAUGCAAGUCGAGCGAUGAAAUUUUAACCGAUCUCUUCGGAGAGAAGAUAAAAUGGAUUAGCGGCGGACGGGUGAGUAACACGUGAGAAACCUGCCUUUCACAAGGGGAUAGCCUCGGGAAACCGGGAUUAAUACCCUAUGACACAUUUCCUUCGCAUGGAAGAAAUGUUAAAACUCCGGUGGUGAAAGAUGGUCUCGCGCCUGAUUAGCUAGUUGGUGGGGUAACGGCCCACCAAGGCCAUGAUCAGUAACCGGCCUGAGAGGGUGAACGGUCACAGUGGAACUGAGACACGGUCCAAACUCCUACGGGAGGCAGCAGUGGGGAAUAUUGCACAAUGGAGGAAACUCUGAUGCAGCGACGCCGCGUGAGCGAUGAAGGCUUUCGAGUCGUAAAGCUCUGUCCUAUGGGAAGAUAAUGACGGUACCAUAGGAGGAAGCCCCGGCUAACUACGUG